GUGCCACAAACAUUUCCAUCAGUGGGGACUCAGUGUCGAUGGCAUCAUAUGGCACCAUCAGUGUGAGGAUGAUGCUUACCUGGGGAAGGAAUUCUCAUCAGGCAGCAAGAUCUGCUAGCAGAGGAAGCAGAACAGAGCAUGGACAGUCAGACAUGCACCACUCUCCAAACAACCUUUGCUUUGCUUGGAAGCUGCAGCAGAAAAAGACAGGUAUCAUCCAAAAGUAAAUCUGACGUCUGUUCUUAACUGGGCCUGAGCACUGCUCCUCGCUGCCAUGCUCCAGAAGAGAAAUGCUGAUUUACAGAGGUGAAGGGACGACAUGUCAGCUUGGGAUCCUUUCAGCAAUCAAGAUUUUUGGUUUACUUUACUUUCUUGCUUAUUUUUCCGCACAAAAUCCCUAUGGAGUCGAGCAGUGUAAAUCUGAGAAGUUAUCUUGGGCUUAGGCCAGCUGAGAUAUUUUCAGUCUCUGUUCAUCUUUGGAUAAAAACCAGUGCAAGCAAGCUAAAAAAGCCAAAUAUGUCCAAAUUCUCAGUAAGCUUUGAGGGAGCAUCCAUAAAAUAAGCACUGGCAGGUGGCAUUAUGAAGUGCUCAAAACAAAUGCUCGAGAACAUUGUUAUUGAAAAGCAGCCAACAUAAGUAUCUCCCCCUCUGCAGGGGACGGGCUGGAUCCUCCCGAGCCCUUCUUUGGACAGCCACUGCGUUUUGCUGCUGUGAGCCUGAUAACGAAAGACAUUUCCUGGUGUAUGCUUUCACGUGCUAUUUGGCUCUCCAACAGGGCAUCUAGGAAUAGGACUGAGUUUAUUCUAAGAGUGGCAGGAGAUACAGCCAAAGCAUCACCAUGUCCCUCAGGUUCGGAAGAGUGAGGAGGGAUGGGCCCAAGCUGGGAGCUAGAGGCCUCUGGCCGAAGCUGGGUGGGCUGAGCAGGGUUAGGACCUGAGGAGCGAAGUGGAAGCAGGGGCUGCACACCACAAGCAAAGCUGAGCACGUGGUGGGGGUGGCACCGCAUGACCCACUGCACACAGG